rnacentral:rRNA from 1 species
GGUUAAGCGAAUAAGCGUACACGGUGGAUGCCUAGGCAAUCAGAGGCGAUGAAGGACGUGCUAAUCUGCGAAAAGCGUCGGUAAGGUGAUAUGAACCGUUACACCCGACGAUAUCCGAAUGGGGAAACCCAGUAUCCAAUGGAUACUAUCAUUAACUGAAUCCAUAGGUUAAUGAGGCGAACCGGGAGAACUGAAACAUCUCAGUACCCCGAGGAAAAGAAAUCAACCGAGAUUCCCCUAGUAGCGGCGAGCGAACGGGGAGCAGCCCAGAGUCUUAAUCAAUA